GGCAAAUGUUGUCUUGACAACCAAACAUUGCAUGCUGAUCACUAUGGCAGUCUUUGAGUUUGCUGGGAUUAUUCAUGGUUUGUGCCCAUUGAACAGUGGAAGGUCUUUUCUCUACCACCAGUGUCCAUCAUUUACUGUGACAGGUGUGAUCCCAAUCUAAAGACCUGCGAACAAGAAGAGAAUUAAGCUGGAAGGAACAUUAAAUUUUGGUGAUGCUGAUCUCUUUUGAUGGAGUCCAUCGAUAUGAACUGGAUUUUAAUUCAGACACUUCAGAAGACAAAUAAAAUUAAAAUAUCCCGUGAAACUGAUGGAAUUAAGAAAUUCUACAAGGAUGAAGUGAAGAAUUCAGUAGAACUUUCUGAAGGAUCAAGAGGUCAACUGACGGCUUGUCACAUGAAGCAUAUAACCUGAUCAUUGGUUGUCCCUCGUUGGAUUACCAGGCGUACAGUGUGAUAUAUUGACAUCCGUGUCUCUGGCAUCUAGAGUCUUCAUACUCAGGACCAGGCUGAAGGGGAUUGUUCUUAGCUGACAUUUAUCAACGGACAUAUCUUUACACUAAAACAAAGUGAAUUUAAAAAGAAAUUUAAAAAUCUGAUCUACUCCAUAAAUGAAAGAAAAUCAUCAUCAUCGGAACAAAAAAUUUUUUUCAGAGGAAUCUUUAUAAAAACAACGUGUUCCCAUGACAUUUUGCGUGUUAACGAAAUACAUGUAUUACAGGUGACUGUGUAAAUAUAUUAUACCUGUCAAAUGAGUCACGGAUUGAUUAAAUGUGAAGAGUUUUCAAUUUGUAUUAACAUUGGUGACCAUAUA